rnacentral:rRNA from 1 species
UGAUGACGGCCUUCGGGUUGUAAAAUUCUGUGGCGAGGAACGAAUGGCAAGGAGAGGAAAUGCUCUUUGUUUGACGGUACCUCGCUAGAAAGCCACGGCUAACUACGUGCCAGCAGCCGCGGUAAUACGUAGGUGGCAAGCGUUAUCCGGAAUUAUUGGGCGUAAAGAGUGAGCAGGCGGUUUUUUAAGUCUGAAGUCAAAUCCUGUGGCUCAACCACAGUUCGCUUUGGAAACUGAAGAACUAGAGUGCGGGAGAGGUAAGCGGAAUUCCAUAUGUAGCGGUGAAAUGCACAGAUAUAUGGAGGAACACCGGUGGCGAAGGCGGCUUACCAGCCCGAUACUGACGCUCAGUCACGAAAGCGUGGGGAGCAAAUAGGCUUAGAUACCCUAGUAGUCCACGCCGUAAACGUUGAGGACCUGAUGCCGGAGUAUUUCGGUGUCGUAGCUAACGCGUUAAGUCCUCCGCCUGGGUACUACGUUCGCAAGAAUAAAACUUAAAGGAAUUGACGGGGGCCCGCACAAGCAGUGGAGCAUGUGGUUUAAUUCGUCGCUACGCGAAAAACCUUACCAGGGUUUGACAUCCCGCUAAAAGUCUUGGAAACAAGAUCAUAGUUAUAGCGGUGAAAGGUGGUGCAUGGUUGUCGUCAGCUCGUGUCGUGAGAUGUUGGGUUAAGUCCCCUAACGAGCGCAACCCUUGUCUCUAUUUGCCAUCAUUAAGUUGGGAACUAUAGAGAGACUGCCGGUGCAAACCGGAGGAAGAUGGGGAUGACGUCAAAUCAUCAUGCCCCUUAUGCCCUGGGCCACACACGUGCUACAAUGGCCGGUACAGAGAGAAGCAAUCCCGUGAGGAGGAGCAAAUCUCACAAAGCCGGUCUCAGUUCGGAUUGGAGUCUGCAACUCGACUCCAUGAAGCUGGAAUUGCUAGUAAUCGCAGAUCAGCAUUGCUGCGGUGAAUACGUUCCCGGGCCUUGUACACACUGCCCGUCACACCAUGAGAGUCGGCAAUACUCGAAGUCGUUAUCUUAACCCGCAAGGGAGGGAGGCGCCUAAGGUAGGGCUGAUGAUUGGGGUUAAGUCGUAACAAGGUAUCCCUACGGGAACGUGGGGAUG